GGCCCAGACUCCUACGGGAGGCAGCAGUGGGGAAUAUUGCACAAUGGGGGAAACCCUGAUGCAGCAACGCCGCGUGAAGGAAGACGGUUUUCGGAUUGUAAACUUCUAUCAAUAGGGAAGAAAGAACUGACGGUACCUAAAUAAGAAGCCACGGCUAACUACGUGCCAGCAGCCGCGGUAAUACGUAGGUGGCAAGCGUUAUCCGGAUUUAUUGGGUGUAAAGGGCGUGUAGGCGGGAAUGCAAGUCAGAUGUGAAAACUAUGGGCUCAACCCAUAGCCUGCAUUUGAAACUGUAUUUCUUGAGUGCUGGAGAGGCAAUCGGAAUUCCGUGUGUAGCGGUGAAAUGCGUAGAUAUACGGAGGAACACCAGUGGCGAAGGCGGAUUGCUGGACAGUAACUGACGCUGAGGCGCGAAAGCGUGGGGAGCAAACAGGAUUAGAUACCCCUGUAAUA
rnacentral:rRNA from 1 species